rnacentral:rRNA from 1 species
UGGUCAGGUUAUUGAGGGUGCGGGGCGGAUGUAUGGCACUAGAAGACCGAUGAAGGACGUGAUAAGCUACGAUAAGCUUCCGGGGAGUUACACGUAAGCUUUGAUCGAAGAUUUCGAAUGAGGAGCUCGCUUAGAGUAAUAUCUAAGUAUCAUUAAAAUUGAAUACAUAAGCUUAAUAGAGGGGAACUCAGGAACUAGAAGCAUCUAAGUACCUGAAGGAAGAAAGAAAUUCGAUUCCGUAAGUGGCAACAGUGAACAUAGUUAACCAAACAAUAAGUUUUCUUUAUUGGGGUUGCGAACAUAUCAUAACAGAAAGAGGUAUCGUAAUUGAAGAGGUUUGGAAAGACCUACCACAGAGGUAAUAAUAAUUCUGUAUGUUAAACAGAAGACUUUAGAUAUGAUCCGAAGUACCACGGGACGUGAAACCCUGUAAGGAAGCAGGAGGAAUACCCUCAAGGCUAAAUACUACCUGGCUGACCGAUAGCGUAUAGUACCGUGAGGGGAAAGGUGAAAAAGAACCCGGAGAGUGAAAUGGGAACCUGAAACCCUGCGCCUGGCUGGAAGCAUUUCUUGUGUGACGCAUUACUUUUUGUGAACGGUACGGCAGUUUACGUUAAGUAACAGGUUAGAAAGCACUUAAGGUGUGGAGCCAUGGCGAAAGCGAGUUUAACUGAGCGUUCAGUUACUUGGCUUGUAGACCGAAACCAGGCGACCUACCCAUGAAGGGAUGGCAAGUAAAAUUUCGUGGAGGUCCAGAACCCACGAGCGUUGAAAAGCUCGGGGAUGACUUGUGGGUAGCAGUGGUCCAAUCGAGCGGAAUGGCUGGUUCUCCCCGAAAUAGCUUUAGGGCCCAGCCUCAAGGUGAGAUGCGGAGGUAGGCACUGAAUGUCUAGGGGUAUUGCACCUACGAAGACUAUCAAACUCCGAAUACGUCAUCUUUAUACUUAGGAGUCAGACUGUGGGUGAUAAGAUUCAUAGUCGAAAGAACGCUUAGCCAGAUCGUCCCAGCUAAAAGGUCCUAAAUGUGUAAGUUAAGUGGUAAAGGAUGUGGGAUUGCUGGGCUUAGCAGGAUGUUGGCAAAGCAGCCACUCAUUCAAAAGAAGUGCGUAAUAGCUCACUGGUCAGUGAUCCCUGCGCCAGGAAUUUCCAGGGCUAAAACUUACUACUGGCAUCGAAGUAAUGAUGGGUAGGGGAGCUUCCAGCAAAGGUUGAAGCAUGACCAUGGGACAUGUGGACAGUAUGGGAGUGAGGUGGCAUGGUAGCGAGAUGGUGGGUGAGAAUCCCACAGGCCGUAAACUGGGACUUGGGAAGGUUCGUCCGCCCUGGGUUAGUCGGAGACCUGAAAGCUGAGGCCGAAAGGCGUAGGUGAUGGGCAACAGGUUGAUAUUCCUGUACUACGAUAACCGUUUGAAGAAAGGGAUAACACAGUAGGAUAAACUAAGCACACUGUUGUUGGUUAUGUGUGCCCAAGCAUUCAGAGAGCUUGAUCAAAAGAAUGAAGCAAAUCCAUUUGAUAAUGCUGGGAUGUGAUGGGGCAUUUAGUAGCAAUAGCUGAUUUCCACACUGUCAAGAAAAGUCUCUAUCGAGGUUAAAGUACCGUACCAUAAACCGACACAGGUGGGUGAGGAAGUAUCCUAAGGCCAGCAGCGAGAGAGCUGUUGUUAAGAACUGUGAAAUGACCCCGUAACUUGGGGAUAAGGGUGCCACCAUUAGGUGGCCAGAGAAUAGGCCCCAAGCGGCUGUUUACCAAAACAGGUUUCUGCUAAGUCGCAAGACGAUGUAUAGAAUGACGCCUGCCCGGUGCUGGAAGGUUAAGGAUCUGUUAGAGUAGUCGAAGCAGUGAACUUAAGCCCCAGUAAACGGCAGCCCGUAACUAUAGCGAUUAUAAAGGUAUGAAAUUCCUUGUCAGGUAAGUUCCGAUGCGAAAAGCGUAACGGUGGGCACUGUCUGUAACAGACUCCGGUGAUGUAAUUUCCGGUGAGAUGCCGGAUGAUACCUGCGACAGGACGGAAAGACCCCAUGGGCUUACUGUAGCUUGACAUUGGGUCUUGGUACUACAUGUACAGGAUAGGUGGGAGGCUUUGAAACAGGACGCCAGUUUGGCUGGAGCCAUCAGGAUACCACCCUUGUAGUACUGGGACUCUAACCGCAGGCCAUGAAUCUGGUCUUGGGACACUGUCAGGUGGGCAGUUUGACUGGGGCGGUCGCCUCCCAAGGUAACAGAGGCGCUCAGGUUCUCUCAGUACGGUCGGAAAUCGUACGUAGAGUGUAAGGCAAAAGAGAGCUUGAUUGCAAGACAUACAGGUCGAGCAAGGAUGAAAAUCGGACUUAGUGAUCGGUGGUUCUGCGUGGAAGAGCAUGCUCAGCAGAUAAAAGCUACCUAGGGAUACUGCAGGCUUAUCUCCCCCAAGUCCACAUCGACGGGGAGGUUUGGCACCUCGAUGUCGGCUCAUCACAUCCCACAGGGCUGUAGUAGAUCCCAAGGGUUGGGCUGUUCGCCCAUUAAAGUGGUACGCGAGCUGGGUUCAGAACGUCGUGAGACAGUUCGGUCCCUAUCCGUCGCAGGCGUAGGAAAUUUGAGAAGACCUGUCCUUAGUACGAGAGGACCGGGAUGGACGUACCUCUGGUGUACCAGUUGUCCUGCCAAGGGCAUGGCUGGGUAGCUAUGUGCGGAAUGGAUAAGCGCUGAAAGCAUCUAAGCGCGAAGCCAACUUCAAGAUAAGAUUUCCCACCGCAAGGGUAAGACCCCAGAAAGACUAUCUGGUUGAUAGGUCGAAGGUGUAAGUGCAGCAAUGUAUUUAGCUUAUCGAUACUAAUAGGUCGAGGACUUGACCAAU